UUAAAAGGGUUGGACUUGAUUUUUUGAGUGUGGUCACCAGGAAUUCAAUUAAUUCCAAAGAGACUUAUUUACAAUUUAUUUACAAAUUAUAGAAAGAGUGAAGUAAGAAAUCAGAAAGAGUGGAACUUGGCUUGGAGGAGAUGCAGUGUGAGACUUCAGACUGCUUCCCUGAAACAACCACAUGGUUUGAAGGACUGGAUAAGCAAUGAAUCAGCAUAAAGCAGAUAAAUGACGCCCCCAAAAAAGGAUGAUAAAUAUUUGCAGAAUAAAUAAAUGAAUGAGUAAACUUCA
rnacentral:lncRNA from 1 species